CAGUAGCCGCGGUAAUACGUAGGGUGCAAGCGUUAAUCGGAAUUACUGGGCGUAAAGCGUGCGCAGGCGGUCCUCUAAGACAGAUGUGAAAUCCCCGGGCUUAACCUGGGAACUGCAUUUGUGACUGGCGGGCUAGAGUAUGGCAGAGGGGGGUAGAAUUCCACGUGUAGCAGUGAAAUGCGUAGAGAUGUGGAGGAAUACCGAUGGCGAAGGCAGCCCCCUGGGCCAAUACUGACGCUCAUGCACGAAAGCGUGGGGAGCAAACAGGAUUAGAUACCCGCGUAGUCCCUGUCUCUUAUAA
rnacentral:rRNA from 1 species